rnacentral:rRNA from 1 species
CUUUCCUACGGGACGCAGCAGUGGGGAAUAUUGCACAAUGGGGGAAACCCUGAUGCAGCGACGCCGCGUGAGUGAAGAAGUAUCUCGGUACGUAAAGCUCUAUCAGCAGGGAAGAAAAAAAGUCUUUGGCUUUGGACGGUACCUGACUAAGAAGCCCCGGCUAACUACGUGCCAGCAGCCGCGGUAAUACGUAGGGGGCAAGCGUUAUCCGGAUUUACUGGGUGGAAAGGGAGAGUAGAAGGCUAAUCAAGUCAG